CAUUAAAGAUUGUAAGUUAUAGCUAGCAACCUAACAAGGGAGCAUUUGAGUAACGAGUACAAAUCACAGAGGUAAAAAAAAACAAUACAAACAUAUUACAAGUUAUAUCUUCAAGUAUAACCAUGAACUGCUCCUAGUGUUUUCCAUAGGACGGAUCAUAUAUCAGGAACUUGAAAUAUGCCUCUAUGAUGGUGAGGUAUAACUCGACAAGCUUGAGGUAGACAUGCUCCUUAUUACCGUUCCUCUCUUCGUCUUUUAAAUUCAGUUAUAGGUACCUACCUGCAAAUGAGUCAAGAAAGAGCACUGAACCACUGAUGAUCUCUGUACAUGAGAUGCAUGUCUGCUGGCAAUGUUCUCUUUUGAAAGGUUCUUACAUAAACCUAUGGCAACCAUCGACAUUCCGGGGAUGAUAUACAAAGUAGGCAUUUCAUUGUUGCCUAGACUUCUCAAGCCAUUCAGUUUUUCGGGCAGGAUAUGCACCAAAACAUGCACCAGCGUCUAACCAUAUGCACCGAAACAGCACUGGGAAGUUCUAGUUGUAGGAACUAAGCAAUGCAACAAAAGAGUAGGAUUGUAAGAAAAGAAACAGUAGACAAUAC
rnacentral:lncRNA from 1 species